rnacentral:rRNA from 1 species
UCACUUAGAGUAAUGUCUAAGUAUCAUUAAGUAAAUACAUAGCUUAAUGAGGGGAACUCAGGGAACUGAAACAUCUAAGUACCUGAAGGAAGAGAAAGAAAUUCGAUUCCGUAAGUAGCGGCGAGCGAACGCGGAUUAGCCCAAACCAAUAAAGUUUUCUUUAUUGGGGUUGCGGACAUAUCAUAACGAAGAGGUAUCGUAAUUGAAGAGGUUUGGAAAGAUCCACCACAGAAGGUAAUAGUCCUGUAUGUUAAACGAGAAGACUUCAGAUAUGAUCCAGAGUACCACGGGACACGUGAAACCCUGUGGGAAGCAGGAGGGACCACCCUCCAAGGCUAAAUACUACCUAGUGAUCGAUAGCGUAUAGUACCGUGAGGGAAAGGUGAAAAGAACCCCGGGAGGGGAGUGAAAUAGAACCUGAAACCCUGCACUUACAAGCUGUGGAAGCACAUUUCUUGUGUGACCGCGUACUUUUUGUAGAACGGGCCAACGAGUUACGUUAAGUAGCAAGGUUAAGCACUUAAGGUGCGGAGCCGUAGCGAAAGCGAGUUUUAACUGAGCGUUCAGUUACUUGACGUAGACCCGAAACCGGGCGACCUACCCAUGAGCAGGAUGAAGCGAAAGUAAAAUUUCGUGGAGGUCCGAACCCACGAGCGUUGAAAAGCUCGGGGAUGACUUGUGGGUAGCGGUGAAAUUCCAAUCGAGCCCGGAGAUAGCUGGUUCUCCCCGAAAUAGCUUUAGGGCUAGCCUCAAGGUGAGAGAUACGGAGGUAGAGCACUGAAUGUCCUAGGGGGUAUUGCACCUACCGAAGACUAUCAAACUCCGAAUGCCGUCAUCUUAUACUUGGGAGUCAGACUGUGGGUGAUAAGAUUCAUAGUCGAAAGGGCAACAGCCCAGAUCGUCAGCUAAGGUCCCUAAAUGUAAGUUAAGUGGUAAAGGAUGUGGGAUUGCACAGACAACCAGGAUGUUGGCUUAGAAGCAGCCACUCAUUCAAAGAGUGCGUAAUAGCUCACUGGUCGAGUGAUCCUGCGCCGAAGAUUUCCGGGGCUAAAACUUACUACCGAAGCUACGGCAUCAGUAAUGAUGGGUAGGGGAGCUUCCCAUACGGGUUGAAGCAUGACCGUAAGGACAUGUGGACAGUAUGGGAGUGAGAAUGUUGGCAUGAGUAGCGAGAUGUGGGUGAGAAUCCCACAGGCCGUAAACCCAAGGUUUCCAGGGGAAGGUUCGUCCGCCCUGGGUUAGUCGGGACCUAAGCUGAGGCCGAAAGGCGUAGGUG